AUUUAGCUUCUGCUUAUCCAUGUUUCAGGUGAUAUGUGGCAAUCCACUCGUGCCAGUGGCAGACUUACCCUAAUAUGAUGGGAACAAGAGGAUUGAUAUAGCCAAAUGGUCAAAUCGAUAUCUUAUCCAUCUUUUCCGUUUGCUGGUCUGCUCUGAACCUGUCAUAUAUCUCAAGGCAUUGUCCGGAUGGCAAACCUCAGGGGUAUUGGAGACAAAUAGAAGACUUGAAGGAAAGCAGGCAGGGAAUCUUCAAUAGUAAACAUGGUAUAUUUACUUGACCCUCAGCAUGGCAAUGACGAGCAUGACAUGUCAGAUAGAUAUAUCGUUACAGCUAGAGAAAAAUGUUCAAUCUGGGAAAUGGUAACUAUAGUUUUAUUUGCUCUUUUAAUUUUAACCAUGAUUUUAUUUAGUUUGUUUUCCCAACCACCAUCACCAACUACCCCAUAAAUUACAAAAAGAAAAUAAUAAGAAAUUCAACGAACAGGAAUUCAUAUCCACCGAAUGAUAUUGCCAUACUUAGGGCAGGGGGGACAUGAUUUAGAAAAAAGACUACUGGAAUAAUGCAUAAACUAUAUUUGAAGUUUAUACAGGACAAGUGGAGACACUUUCUAGCUUGAAUGUGAGGGUUUUCUUUUCCUCCUUCCGAAUUUUUCGUUCUAUUUGUGCAAUUUCUAUGUAUUUGAUCUGAUGUACUUAUGAAUUCAUAUUAAUUUCUUCAGGUACGUGUUGUUGGUGGCAAGAUAACUGGGUGGAUUUGGAAGCUUCAAGAUGCCCCUGCAUUUAAGGAACAUAUGAUUUUGAUGAUUGGUGGCUAGCAAACUUACAAUUUGGAGGUGACGACUCAGGCUCUGGUAGAUAGAGUUUUUAAGUAUUAAAUUUAUCAAUUUAACUUGGCAAAUGGCCUUUUGGUUCCACUUCAUUAACUUAUCAUAUUCGUUAUCAGAUGGUUCCCCGUCUGAGGCCCUUUCUGAAUAAGGCCGGAAGAA